GUGCGUUGCCGGUGGGCGCUUUAGGAAAUUGGUAGGAGGAAAAGCGGCUUCUUUUGAAAAGAAUUCUCUUAGGAAUCUCUGGCUUCAUUGAGGACACAGGUGUAAGCAGAAGCUGUGUUCUCAGCUCCAAGAGGCCGACCCCACGAAAGCCUAAGCAGGUGAAUUUCGUAAAGACGUUGACAGUUGGAAAACCUGUGCUUUCAGCACGUGAUAAAUCUGCAGAGUCAGCAGACAAUGAAGAUUUGGCAUUCAAGAACUCCUCAAAUACUUCUCGAUAGUAGCUAUUCAGAGCCUGCCUUGAUAGACCGAACUUGCUCAUAUUUAAAUCAUUAAGAUAGAGGAAAGAAUGUAACAACUUUUUAAAAUGUUUCUUACCCCAUAAAUACUUGAAGAAGAUAUGUUAUAUUGGACCAUGGAUCUUUCUGGGGGGGAGGGGAGAAGAAAGCAAAAGUAAAGUUUAAAUUUACAUU
rnacentral:lncRNA from 1 species